UACGUAGGGGGCAAGCGUUGUCCGGAUUUAUUGGGCGUAAAGAGCGUGUAGGCGGCCAAGCAGGUCAGCUGUGAAAACUCGAGGCUCAACCUCGAGCUGUCGGCGGAAACCAUCUGGCUAGAGUCCGGAAGAGGAGAGUGGAAUUCCUUGUGUAGCGGUGAAAUGCGCAGAUAUCAGGAGGAACACCAAUGGCGAAGGCAGCUCGCUGGGACGGUACUGACACUGAGACGCGAAAGCGUGGGGAGCAAACAGG
rnacentral:rRNA from 1 species